GUUCAAAAACAUUUUAAUAUCAGUGUUUGUAGCGUCUUAAAGCACUGUAAUGACACAGAUUGUCCACCAGCUCUUCCUGAGGUAAAGUGUGUGUAGUAGAGGAGGAGGAAGAACACUAAACUGUGCAGGACAGGGGGUUCUCCAGGACCAGGGCUGUGGAAGAGAAAACACCAGUUGAUGUGGAUACAUGAAUGCAUUCAUCCUUCGCCACUCCGAGAGCAUCUCUAUAGCAACGUCUGCCCAUGAUGGAGUGUCUGUUAUCUCACCAGCCAAUCAAAACGAGCGAUACACAUGUGCAGAGACAAACACACCCCGGUGGUUAUUAUUCCUCCCGGUCAAUGAGGUGUCAGAAUAUGGAAAUGGCACCGAAAGAUAUGUGUCCGGACCAGAAAAAUGUCAACAGAGGCCUGGACUGAAGAACAUAACUAGAUAUGCUCCGUGUUUUUCUGAGGCUCCCAGACUCCUGCUCAGAUAUCAGAAAAGACUUCUGAGAUGACGGGAGAUUGACAGCUGAUUAGUGUAGUGGACAGACAUGGGAAAGGGCUUUCUGAGGUUUCUUGGAAACAUAUAUACACACACACACACACACACACACACACACACACAC
ensembl:lncRNA